UGAGGAAUAUUGGUCAAUGGUCGCAAGACUGAACCAGCCAUGCCGCGUGCAGGAAGACGGUCCUAUGGAUUGUAAACUGCUUUUAUACAGGAAGAAACCCUCCCACGUGUGGGAGCUUGACGGUACUGUAGGAAUAAGGAUCGGCUAACUCCGUGCCAGCAGCCGCGGUAAUACGGAGGAUCCAAGCGUUAUCCGGAAUCAUUGGGUUUAAAGGGUCCGUAGGCGGUCUUAUAAGUCAGUGGUGAAAGCCCAUCGCUCAACGAUGGAACUGCCAUUGAUACUGUAAGACUUGAAUGCUUAGGAAGUAACUAGAAUAUGUAGUGUAGCGGUGAAAUGCUUAGAUAUUGCAUGGAAUACCAAUUGCGAAGGCAGGUUACUACUAAGUGAUUGACGCUGAUGGACGAAAGCGUGGGGAGCGAACAGGAUUAGAUACCCUGGUAGUCCACGCCGUAAACGAUGGAUACUAGCUGUUCGGCGCAAGUUGAGUGGCUAAGCGAAAGUGAUAAGUAUCCCACCUGGGGAGUACGCACGCAAGUGUGAAACUCAAAUGAAUUGACGGGGUCAUAGCUGUUUCCUG
rnacentral:rRNA from 1 species